AUGAGAGUGUUCUAUGGAAAGCAGAUGGCACUGGACAACAUUUAUGGUAAGUGGACUGACUCAUUUCAAUUGUUGUACACUUACAAGGCAGAAGUUGAGAAAGCAUCUCCUGGAAGUGUAGUUAACAUUGACAAGCACACUGUAGAGUACAAAAUAGCUGGAAAAACUAGACAGAAAGAGUGCUUUAGAAGAGUGUUUGUUUCUUUCAAAGCAUGCUGGCAAGGUUUUUUAGAUGGAUGUAGGCCCUAUCUUGCAGUAGAUGGCACAACACUGAAUGGCAGAUAUAAAGGCCAACUUGUGAGUGCAUGUGCAGUGGAUGCUUGCAACUGGAUCUUCCCAGUAGCAAUUGGAGUUGUUGAGUCUGAAAAUACAGAUAGUUGGACAUGGUUUUUCCAGAAUUUAAAAGAACUAAUAGGAUAUCCACCAGGUCUUGUCAUCCACACAGAUGCAUGCAAAGGACUAGAGACUGCUGUUGAAGAUGUAUUCACUGGAGUUGAGCACAGGGAAUGCAUGAGGCAUUUGGCAGCUAAUUUUUCCAAAAAAUUUAGAGGAAAGUUUUUUGAUGAUAAUUUGUGGCCUUGUUCAUUGACAUAUAGCAUGAAAAAACACAAUUAUCAUCUUAGACAGCUACACAGCAAACCUGGUGUGAAAGAGUACCUAGAAGAGCAUCAUAGCAAACUAUGGGUCAGUGCCUUGUUCAAUGAAAUAUGCAAAGUUGAUUAUGUCAAUAACAAUUUAGCUGAGUCAUUCAAUUCCAAAAUUAAGAAGUGGAAGGGGAUACACAUUGUGGACUUGCUUGACAAAAUUAGGCAGUUCAUAAUGGAAAAGUUUGACUUGAGACAGCAGAUUGCAGCUGGGACAUACAAUGGGCACAUCAUAAUCCCAAAAAUCAUGAUUAUGCUUCAUGCAAAAUCAAAAGACCUUGAUAUGUCCAUAGUGAAAAGAAGCACAUUAGAGGCAGAGAUUACUGCAAUUGACAAGGAAAAAAGAGAGUGGAGAUAUCUUGUUAAUUUGCAAACACAUACUUGUAGUUGUAGAAAGUGGCAAAUAAUAGGACAACCAUGCAUACAUGCAUUGUACUUUAUCACUUCAAUGAGAGGUCCAGUUAGUGAGAUUGAUCAGUAUGUUCAUGAGUAUUUCUCUGUGGCAAAAUUCAAGGCUACUUAUGCUGAUAAUCUGCCACUUCUGGAGGGCAAGCAACAAUGGGAUGUUGUAGACCCAGGAUUUAAACUGAGUGCUCCAUUGCAAAAUAGGCCACCUGGUAGACCUAGGAAGACAAGAAUUAGGGCUAAAUCAGAGGGAAAGGACUUGGAGGAAGAAAGAAUAAGUGUUCAAGAUGUGGGAAGCUUGGGCACAAAGGCAGCCACUGCAAAGAGUCCAUUGACCCUGCAUUUGGAGAGGAAGAACAUUGGGGUGCUGAUAAUGCCAAUGAUGAACCUCUGGCUACUAUGGCAGAUACUGCUACUGAUGAUGUAA
rnacentral:rRNA from 1 species